UACGUAGGGGGCUAGCGUUGUCCGGAAUCAUUGGGCGUAAAGAGCGUGUAGGCGGCCCGGUAAGUCCGCUGUAAAAGUCAAAAGGCUCAACCUUUGAAUGUCAGUGGAUACUGCCGGGCUAGAGUCCGGAAGAGGCGAGUGGAACUCCUGGUGUAGCGGUGGAAUGCGCAGAUAUCAGGAGGAACACCCCGUGGCGAAGGCGGCUCCCCUGGUCCGUCCCCUGACGCUGAGACGGCGAAAAGCGGCGGGGAGCGAACGGG
rnacentral:rRNA from 1 species